rnacentral:rRNA from 1 species
UACGAAGGGGGCGAGCGUUGUUCGGAUUUACUGGGCGUAAAGGGCGCGUAGGCGGCAAUUCAAGUCAUCUGUGAAAUCUCCGAGCUUAACUCGGAACGGUCAGAUGAUACUGCUUUGCUAGAGUGCAGAAGGGGCAAUCGGAAUUCUUGGUGUAGCGGUGAAAUGCGUAGAUAUCAAGAGGAACACCUGAGGUGAAGACGGGUUGCUGGGCUGACACUGACGCUGAGACACGAAAGCGUGGGUAGCAAACAGG